AUCUCUUCACUGCUGUAGUGUACUCGCUGCAAUUAGGUAGAAACCGAUAACAUCCGAAUUGUUGUACAACUAUCAUCUAUAUUCACGAUCUCUUUAGUUAUUUUUUAUAUACCUAGUUGACUGUGUUGAUUGGUGAGACAACAUCCGGAAUAUCCAGGAAAGCGUCGUCGUCGUCAGUCCUGCGAUUCAGAAAGUGUGAAAUUUGAAAGUCGCGAUAAGAAAACAUCAAGUCUGUGACAUUUUCAUUACAUGAUCUUUUGAUCUGCGCGCAAAAAAAAAAAUUGUUACAGAACUCAUCGUUUCCAGAAGAUGCAAUUAAAAUGAAGCUAAUAUUCUUCCUGUUGUUCUUGGUCAGUUCUGUUUUUUGCGCACCCUGGCUCGAUUUGUGGUUUCCCCAGCAAUCCUCAUACGACAGUCGAGACACCGGAUAUUAUGCAAACAAGGAGAACGGUUCGUAUCGACGAUACCGUCAAGGCAGAGGCGGCAAGGAACGUUGGAAGCAGAUCUGUAGGACGAUAAAUCCCGAUCCGUACGCGUUUCCAGGACGCGUUCCAUAUCCCGCUGCGCCUAUCUGUCCGUGGUAAAAAAAAAAUUUUCCGUCGAACUUACUUAAUUGCGCCAAAUUCAAACACAGCGCGUAUAUAUUAAUCGUUAAAAAUAUGAAUUUAUUGUAACAAUGUAGCUUCUGACAAUAUACGUCCACUGAUUACGAGUAUUUCAGUCGGUGUGUGUGUGUGAAUGUACAAUGUGUGUGUUACACAGUGAAACAGUACUCUCUAUCACGCAACUAUGGUAUAUAUAUAAAUAUUCGCGACAGACUACAUAUAUAUAUAUAGUCACUUACCGCACACAUUCAUCAUAUAUAAAGUAUACGAAGCAAAGAAAUAAUAAUUACCUGCGUAUCAUAGUUUUCGCACGCGAAUCAUAUUUAUGCAAAAUUCUAAAUCUGUUUACAUUUGCCUGCAAUAUGACAAAUUAACGUUCUCUCUCUCUCUCUUUCUCUCUUUCUCUUACAUACAUGUCUCUUACGUACAAAAAUAAAUUAUACACACUCUUUUUUGUGUAAUAACGAGUGUACGUUUGGUUUUUUUUUUUUUUUUUUUUUUAAGAAAUGCGCGCAUCUCUACAGCAAAAUCCGUAAAAUUACCGGUAGUCUUUAAAUAUCAUAUAUAUAUGUUACACGGUUUAUAUACACACACGCACGUCUAUAUAUACAUGCAUACGCACACAUAUGUAUAUACAAUCCAAAAUCACAGAGUUAGUAUAGCACAGCGAUGUUGCGCAUAUCGUCGAUGUUAAUGAUUUGAGAAAUUAGUAUAAGAGCAAUCCCUAACAUUACCCACAAGUAAAUUGAAACAAUACAAAUGUACGUAGAAAUACAAAUAUACCUGAAUUUUCUAAGA